UCCCUGGUGGGCCAGUGGUUAGGACUCUGCACUGCCAAUGCAGGGGGCGCGGGUUCAAUCCCUGGUCGGGGAA